AGAGUUUGAUCCUGGCUCAGGACGAACGCUGGCGGCGUGCUUAACACAUGCAAGUCGAACGGAAAGGCCCUUCGGGGUACUCGAGUGGCGAACGGGUGAGUAACACGUGGGUGAUCUGCCCUGCACUUUGGGAUAAGCCUGGGAAACUGGGUCUAAUACCGAAUAUGGCCAUGCACUUCCUGGUGUGUGGUGGAAAGCUUUUGCGGUGUGGGAUGGGCCCGCGGCCUAUCAGCUUGUUGGUGGGGUAAUGGCCUACCAAGGCGACGACGGGUAGCCGGCCUGAGAGGGUGACCGGCCACACUGGGACUGAGAUGCGGCCCAGACUCCUACGGGAGGCAGCAGUGGGGAAUAUUGCACAAUGGGCGCAAGCCUGAUGCAGCGACGCCGCGUGAGGGAUGACGGCCUUCGGGUUGUAAACCUCUUUCAGCACAGACGAAGCGCAAGUGACGGUAUGUGCAGAAGAAGGACCGGCCAACUACGUGCCAGCAGCCGCGGUAAUACGUAGGGUCCGAGCGUUGUCCGGAAUUACUGGGCGUAAAGAGCUCGUAGGUGGUUUGUCGCGUUGUUCGUGAAAACUCACAGCUUAACUGUGGGCGUGCGGGCGAUACGGGCAGACUUGAGUACUGCAGGGGAGACUGGAAUUCCUGGUGUAGCGGUGGAAUGCGCAGAUAUCAGGAGGAACACCGGUGGCGAAGGCGGGUCUCUGGGCAGUAACUGACGCUGAGGAGCGAAAGCGUGGGGAGCGAACAGGAUUAGAUACCCUGGUAGUCC
rnacentral:rRNA from 1 species